CGGGCCCCCCCUCCGCAAGUGGGAAGGGGCGGUGCGGGCCUUAAGGGGGUGCGACAUUUAAGGUGGCCCGCUGCCUGCCAUCUGUGGUCCGCGUGGGUCUUUCUCAGAUACGCUCCCGCCGCGGAAGCUGAUUCACACGGGGCAGCCAGCUUCCACCACCAGCCAAGAGGCUGGGGGCCCUGAGUCUGCCCGGACCAGCCCCUGGGGCUCUAUAAAUCGUCUAAGAAGACAAAGGAGUUUGCAGUUACAUAACGAAGGCUCCGCCCAGCCUUAAGAACAACGGAGCCGAGGGGCGCGAGGCCGCCUGGGCGCGGAGGACACCGCCUCUGAGCCGGGAGCUCCGCCUGCUGGACACUUGGGCGCCCGGGGCUCAUCCGAACGUCUCCGCUCCGUCGCACCUGUGGCCACCGAGGACCGGGCAGCUACCAGCACCAGGACCCCAGCCUGGGCCUGGGUCGAGCGUUCUUCCGCAUGAUUUCAGUAGUGAAAUUACGGCUAAAGGGCUCGUUUUGAAGAGUACAUAAAACUUUUUUUUAAACCA